rnacentral:rRNA from 1 species
AGCAAACAGGAUUAGAUACCCUGGUAGUCCACGCCCUAAACGAUGUCGACUGGUUGUUGGGGGUUUGACACUCUCAGUAACGAAGCUAACGCGUGAAGUCGACCGCCUGGGGAGUACGGCCGCAAGGUUAAAACUCAAAGGAAUUGACGGGGACCCGCACAAGCGGUGGAUUAUGUGGAUUAAUUCGAUGCAACGCGAAAAACCUUACCUACCCUUGACAUGUCCCGAAGCCUGGAGAGAUCCGGGUGUGCCCGAAAGGGAACGGGAACACAGGUGCUGCAUGGCUGUCGUCAGCUCGUGUCGUGAGAUGUUGGGUUAAGUCCCGCAACGAGUGCAACCCUUGUCAUUAGUUGCUACAUUUGGUUGGGCACUCUAAUGAGACUGCCGGUGACAAACCGGAGGAAGGUGGGGAUGACGUCAAGUCCUCAUGGCCCUUAUGGGUAGGGCUUCACACGUAAUACAAUGGCGCGUACAGAGGGUAGCCAAGGAGCGAUCCGGAGCCAAUCCCUAGAAAGCGCGUCGUAGUCCGGAUUGCAGUCUGCAACUCGACUGCAUGAAGUCGGAAUCGCUAGUAAUCGCGGAUCAGCAUGUCGCGGUGAAUACGUUCCCGGGUCUUGUACACACCGCCCGUCACACCAUGGGAGUGGGUUUCACCAGAAGC